rnacentral:rRNA from 1 species
GAUGAACGCUGGCGGCGUGCUUAACACAUGCAAGUCGAACGGGAAUUAUUUUAUUGAAACUUCGGUCGAUUUCAUUUAAUUCUAGUGGCGGACGGGUGAGUAACGCGUGGGUAACCUGCCUUAUACAGGGGGAUAACAGUCAGAAAUGGCUGCUAAUACCGCAUAAGCGCACAGAGCUGCAUGGCUCAGUGUGAAAAACUCCGGUGGUAUAAGAUGGACCCGCGUUGGAUUAGCUGGUUGGUGGGGUAACGGCCCACCAAGGCGACGAUCCAUAGCCGGCCUGAGAGGGUGAACGGCCACAUUGGGACUGAGACACGGCCCAGACUCCUACGGGAGGCAGCAGUGGGGAAUAUUGCACAAUGGGGGAAACCCUGAUGCAGCGACGCCGCGUGAAGGAAGAAGUAUCUCGGUAUGUAAACCUCUAUCAGCAGGGAAGAUAGUGACGGUACCUGACUAAGAAGCCCCGGCUAACUACGUG